rnacentral:rRNA from 1 species
CGGAAGGAUCAUUAUUGAAGUUCUAAGGGAUUACUGUUGCUGGCUUUUAACAAGGCAUGUGCACGUAUUCUCUCUUCUCUUCAUCCACCUGUGCACUUUUUGUAGAAGUUCUUUUGGAAUUGGCAUGUUGAGGGUUUCGACUCUUAUACUGUUAUUCUAAAGGCUUCUAUGUUUUAUACACCAGUUAAGCAUGUUUUAGAAUGUCUUUUAUUGGGACUUAAUUGGCCCUUUAAACUUUGUACAACUUUCAGCAACGGAUCUCUUGGCUCUCCCAUCGAUGAAGAACGCAGCGAAAUGCGAUAAGUAAUGUGAAUUGCAGAAUUCAGUGAAUCAUCGAAUCUUUGAACGCACCUUGCGCCCUCUGGUAUUCCGGAGGGCAUGCCUGUUUGAGUGUCAUUAAAUUCUCAACUUCAAUAGUUUUUAUAACUCRUUGAAGCUUGGAUGUGGAGGUUUGCUGGCGUCUUAGAUGUCCGGCUCCUCUUAAAUGCAUUAGUGGAACCCGUUUGUUGGACCAUCCUUGGUGUGAUAAUUAUCUACACUUUGGAAUAAUCUGACAGCCCUAUUGAACUUUUCUCAGUUACUGGUUGGGGCUUUGCAUUAAUUUGCUUUGCCUGUUUCCUUCAGUGGCUGGUUGGGACUCUGCAUUAGUUUGCUUUGUCUGUUCUGUUCAUUAGAGUAGGAAAAUCUGCUUUCUAACUGUCUGUGUAUUCGGACNAUUUAUUGACCAUUGACCUCAAA